rnacentral:rRNA from 1 species
CCGCGUGAGUGAAGAAGGCCUUCGGGUUGUAAAGCUCUUCGGCCGGAAGAAUCGCAUGGGUUAAUACCCUGUGUGGAUGACGGUACCGGCAUAAGAAGCACCGGCUAACUACGUGCCAGCAGCCGCGGUAAUACGUAGGGUGCGAGCGUUAAUCGGAAUUACUGGGCGUAAAGCGUGCGCAGGCGGUUUGGUAAGACAGGCGUGAAAUCCCCGGGCUUAACCUGGGAACUGCGCUUGUGACUGCCUCACUAGAGUACGGCAGAGGGGGUGGAAUUCCACGUGUAGCAGUGAAAUGCGUAGAGAUGUGGAGGAACACCGAUGGCGAAGGCAGCCCCCUGGGCCGAUACUGACGCUCAUGCACGAAAGCGUGGGUAGCAAACAGGAUUAGAUACCCUGGUAGUCCACGCCCUAAACUAUGUCAACUAGGUGUUGGGUGGGUAAAACCAUUUAGUACCGUAGCUAACGCGUGAAGUUGACCGCCUGGGGAGUACGGCCGCAAGGUUAAAACUCAAAGGAAUUGACGGGG